rnacentral:rRNA from 1 species
UACGUAGGUGGCGAGCGUUUAUCCGGAAUUAUUGGGCGUAAAGAGCGCGCAGGUGGUUGAUUAAGUCUGAUGUGAAAGCCCACGGCUUAACCGUGGAGGGUCAUUGGAAACUGGUCGACUUGAGUGCAGAAGAGGGAAGUGGAAUUCCAUGUGUAGCGGUGAAAUGCGUAGAGAUAUGGAGGAACACCAGUGGCGAAGGCGGCUUCCUGGUCUGAUAACUGACACUGAGGCGCGAAAGCGUGGGGAGCAAACAGGG